GACGAACGCUGGCGGCGUGCUUAACACAUGCAAGUCGAACGGUCCUUCUCUUAUGAAGUUUUCGGAUGGAAUUUGAGAAUGGAUAGUGGCGGACGGGUGAGUAACGCGUGGGUAACCUGCCCUUAUGACCGGGACAACAGUUGGAAACGACUGCUAAUACCGGAUGUGCUCGGAGGAUGGCAUCUUCUUCCGAGGAAACGGAGGCCUCUAUUUAUAAGCUCCCGCAUAAGGAUGGACCCGCGUCUGAUUAGCUAGUUGGUGAGGUAACGGCUCACCAAGGCGACGAUCAGUAGCCGGCCUGAGAGGGUGGCCGGCCACACGGGGACUGAGACACGGCCCAGACUCCUACGGGAGGCAGCAGUGGGGAAUCUUCCGCAAUGGGCGCAAGCCUGACGGAGCAACGCCGCGUGAGCGAAGAAGGCCUUUGGGUCGUAAAGCUCUGUCCUUGGGGAAGAAACAAAUGACGGUACCCUUGGAGGAAGCCCCGGCUAACUACGUGCCAGCAGCCGCCGUAACAC
rnacentral:rRNA from 1 species